UCUGAAUCCCAUCGCCAGCUGGAUGAUGUACGGGUAUUUGUAAAAGGGCAAAAGAAAUCUGGAUUCAGUCAAGUUCAGUAAAAUCAAAAAGUUUUACCAAGGCUUGAGUUCCAGUUCCAUGGCUGUUUUAUUAUUUCGAGGUUCUCUCUCUGCUCUCCCUCCCUCGCUUUCUGCUCCUCAAACGGCGUGAAAAGAAAACCCACAAAGAAUUUAAGCGCGACUGGAGGGGUGUGAAAGUCGAGAACUUUUUUAUUUUUGAGCAGGGCUGUGAAAGUCCAGAUCACUUAGCCCGAAGAAACGCAGGUCUGAAAUGGAAAAAAAAAAUUGAAACAAGAAUGGAUGUGAAGAAUCAGUGAGCAAAGUUGAGGGCUGCUAGAGGUAACAGAUAACAAUCUUUCAUAAUAUGAAGUAUUGUAGAAUACAAUAGUCUGUUUCUUCCAUCUUCCAUUUUAUUCCUACCAUGAAAUAAACCCGAACCAUAACAAUAUUUCAACAGCUCCCUCUCGUUAAUGUAGUAACCCAGUUGAGAACAAAGCAAAAAGACGUCUCAGACUUCUUUACUUUCAAGAUGUUUAUAACUUAGCUAUAUAGAACAAUAAAUCUUUGACUGCAUUGCUGUAAGGUUUCUAGGAGUGGGUGCAAGGCAUCCUUCCAUUCAUAUAAACUCCCAGUGUUUAAUGCCUUAGAAACCCUCACAAGUGCAAGACGCAAACCUGCACACUCUCUAGCUACCUCAGUUGUUGUGCAUCGCAAAUUGGGGUCUUUAACACAAUCACCCGCCUUCUUCUCAAAUAAACUCCCUGCUUCUUCUUCGAGCAAAACUUCAAGUCCAAAAUCUUUUUGGGUGCACAUUUCAGAACAUUAUACAUAUCGAUCUCUAGAUGUCAGUAAUACUUUGCAUCCCUCAGAAGGAAUUCCUAUGUCCAAAUUGAGACUCUUCCAUAUGUCAUCAAGGACAACAAGUAUCAUCUUCUUGUCUUUUGAUUUUGUCAACCUCUUCUGUAGACGACUUGCUCUCCCGGGUAUAGUCACCUCAUCAAACUUUGUUUUACUACAGCAAAAACUUUGUUGUAGUAACACGAGGAACAUAGCCACUAUCCGACUGGUAGAUUAGGAGUGUGAAGAACCAGGUAGCGAAGUUGCGGUCUAAAAGAGAUAACGUGCAACAUUUGGUUGAUAUUGCUAUAAGAAACGACGACACAAUUGAAGCUCAUGUUAUCACGUGUAUGACAAAGGUGGAUAAGACUACAGAAGAGGCCAGAAAAUUUCUUGAAGAUGAAGAAAGAGCAAACACGAGGUGUUCUAAUGGGGCAUGCCUAAACUUGAUGCUGCGGCAUCCACUAAUCCGAAAAGCGAAGAAGAUAGUGAAAGUUAUUGGUGAAGUCCUCGAAAAUGGCAGCAAUUAUGAGUCUUAUGACAUAGUUUCAUACUGUCCUGCUCCAGAGGGGAUAGUGACUGCAGGAUGCAUGGAUUGCGUGGACUUUGAAUCAAAAAUGUCAAUUGUUAAAAGACUUAUGGAGGCACUGAGUGAUUAUAAGAUCCACAUGAUUGUGGUGUGGGGAUGGCUGGUGUGGGAAAGACUACUCUGGUGAGAGAAGUUGCCAAUUAAGCAAUGGAAGAAAAGUUAUUCGAUGAGGUGUCUAUUGCAAAUGUGACACAGAGCCCUAACCUUCCACGAAUUCAAGGAGAAAUAGCCAAAGUGCUAGGUCUAAAGUUUGAUGAGGUGACUGUACCUGGAGAGCAAGUCGUCUACAUAAGAGGUUGACAAAAACAAAAGACAAGAAGAUGUUACUUGUUGUGCUUGAUGACAUAUGGAAGAGUCUCAAUUUGGAGGACAUAGGAAUUCCUUCUGAGAGAUGCAAAGUAUUACUGAUAUCUAGAAAUCGAUAUAUAUUAUGUUUUGAAAUGUGCACCCAAAAAGAUUUUGGACUUGAAGUUUUACUUGAAGAAGAAGCAUGGAGUUUAUUUGAGAAGAUGACGGGUGAUUGUGUUAAAGACCCCAAUUUGCGAUGCACAACAACUGAGGUAGCUAGAGAGUGUGCAGGUUUGCGUCUUACACUUGUGAGGGUUUCUAAGGCAUUAAACACUGGGAGUUUAAAUGAAUGGAAGGAUGCCUUGCACCCACUCCUAGAAACCUUACAGCAAUGCAGUCAAAGAUUUAUUGUUCUAUAUAGCUGAGUUAUAAACAUCUUGAAAGUAAAGAAGUCUGAGACGUCUUUUUGCUUUGUUCUCAACUGGGUUACUACAUUAACGAGAGGGAGCUGUUAAAAUAUUGUUAUGGUUGGAGUUUAUUUCAUGGUAUCAAUACAAUGGAAGAUGCAAGAAACAGAUUAUCUACAAUACUUCUUAUUCUAAAAGACUGUUUGUCUAUGUGGUGUGAGAGCUUGGAAAGCCCCAUUCCAGGUGCUGAGGAUGACACUUUCCUGCACUUCAGGAAUUUAUGUAUAAUGAUGAUGGGUUGCAGAAAAUUGUUUUGAGGAAUCAAAACUCGAGUGUUUUUGUGAGGUUUUGAUGGGUGAUGAGGGACUUCAUGAUGAGGUCAAGGUCCAAGAAGUACCUCAUCACCCAUCACAAGGUCUGCAUCUUUCUCUCUCUCUCUGAUAUGUGCUUGUUUGUAUAUUGAAAUUGCAAUUUAUUUUUUUUCUCUGUUUUCCUAUUUGUUAGGAAGAGAUGGAGAAGAAGGGUCAGAGGUGGAACCAGAGCAAACAUUGGGGUGGCAAAUUUAAGGGCGGCUGUUUACCAUCACCAAUUUUCUUGAUCUGUGUCAUUAGCUGACAGACUGUCAUGAUCUUGUUAAUAAAUUUCAGAUAUCUUGGUUGGCUGGUUUA